UGGAAUAUGUAAAUGUAAAGAAAUAUACUGAUUGGUUGAUCAACUUACUGCUUAAAUUUGGGAGAGUUCCGAUGGUCCACAUAGCUUUGGAACUUGUAAGACCAGCCACUCUCCGCAGAAGACACUGUGAAGCUGUAUUGACAUCGACUCCAACAAAACUUACAGCUUCUGUAAUCACCUGUGAUCAAUAACAUUUUGACUACCGAAUUUUUAUUAGAUCUAAAAGAUAAUUAAUUUCUAAUUUUUAUAUUCAUUUGCAAUUAUGAUUAGUACAAAAUGUGAUUUAAAUUAUUAAACAAAAUGCAACUUUA